CCGGGAGUCACAAAAUCUUUCUCCACAGAAAAUUUAUAAUGACAAAAAAAUGUCAUUAAACUUCCCGAAGCCGCAGGAUUCAUAUGUGGUUUGCUGCUUUGUGCUUGCUCUGCCUGUUUAUAUAGUUUUUGAGAUGUUAUCGGCCCUGCGAGAGUCCUCAUGCUUCAUAUUGUCCUCAGCGCAGGAUCAAAGAGAAGCUAUCUUCAAAUGAUGAUAAUAUAUCAACCAUGCCCUCCCAUGAAUGGCUCGAUUCUAAUCUGGCAACAACAUGUUUUGGUAUUCUCAUCCGCUGCUGUUAUCCUUUUUGCUCCAGUGGGAAAGCAGAGCAGGGCUUGGUGUAAACACCCACAAAGAGGGCUUUCGCUGCCUUUCUUGUUCAGAGCUUUUUCCAGAAGUGGAGUGUAGCUGCAGCUCCAACAACCCGAUCUUCUGGGAGUUGCUCUAAAUACCUCAUAGCCUCCAGGAAGUGGAAGCAGACGGAGCCCAGGUGUACAACAGCUGACUGGCACAGACACAAGCUCCUUUUGUUGAAGAACCUAUUUUUGUCUGUCCUACAGUCAUCAUCACUGUAUAAACUACACUGUCUUCAACUUUUAGCAAGAAGCUAAUAAAUGCGUUCAGUGAAAGCCCGAGGUCACUAAGUAAAAAAAAGUAAAAAUUUUCAUCAAAGUAGUUUUCCAUUAAUCAAAUGGGCUGUAAUUUAUGGCCAAAGUCAAAAACUGACAGCCCCAACAAGCCAAAUGAAGGUAAAUGAAGUUUCUGGCAGAGUGCUGCUGAAAUAAUUUACAAUUAUCUUGUAAAUGAGAUUCAAUCUUUACAUUAUUAAAAAUGUGUAUAAAUAAG
rnacentral:lncRNA from 1 species